AGUUAAGGUCUUUAAAUUUAAAGAAUUUGGCGGUAAAUUAAUUUGACUAGAGGAAUUUGUUUAUUAAUAGAUAAUACACAAUUUAUCUUUCUUUAUUUAUUAUUAAUAAUAAUUUAUAUAUCGUCGUUUAGAGUAUUUUUAUAGAAUUAAUUUUCUUUAAUUAUAAUUAAUUAAAAAUCAGAUCAAGAUGUAGUUUAUAGUGAAGAAUAAAAUGGGUUACAUUUUUGAUAAAAAAUUAUGAAUAAUUUUUUGUAAUUUAAAUUUGAAGGAGGAUUUAGAAGUAAUUAAAUAUUAAUAUGAUUUUAUGAAUAUUUAUUAUACUAAUUUAUGUACACAUCGCCCG
rnacentral:rRNA from 1 species